GAGAGAGCUUGAGAUCGUCAUCACCAUGACUUCUGAAUUAACUCAGGAAGAACGACUCGAGUUGGUGGAAUCAAUCGUUGAGUUAAGCUUCUCCUCUCCAACAAACACAACCCAUCCUCUCCAUCGACCUGACUCGUUCCUCACUCACCACAACCAGAGCCAAGUUCGAACCCAAAAUCCAUCUUGUUUCUCCUCAAUUCAUCCUCGUUAUCUCUACGGGUUCACUCCCGAAACAAUCUCGUC
rnacentral:lncRNA from 1 species